UGGGGAAUUUUGGACAAUGGGGGCAACCCUGAUCCAGCCAUUCCGCGUGAGUGAAGAAGGCCUUCGGGUUGUAAAGCUCUUUUGUCCGGAACGAAACGGUGCUCGUGAAUAUCGAGCGCUACUGACGGUACCGGAAGAAUAAGCACCGGCUAACUACGUGCCAGCAGCCGCGGUAAUACGUAGGGUGCGAGCGUUAAUCGGAAUUACUGGGCGUAAAGCGUGCGCAGGCGGUUUUGUAAGCCAGAUGUGAAAUCCCCGGGCUCAACCUGGGAAUGGCAUUUGGGACUGCAAGGCUGGAGUUUGGCAGAGGAGACUGGAAUUCCCGGUGUAGCAGUGAAAUGCGUAGAUAUCGGGAGGAAUACCGAUGGCGAAGGCAGGUCUCUGGGCUAUAACUGACGCUCAUGCACGAAAGCGUGGGGAGCAAACAGG
rnacentral:rRNA from 1 species